rnacentral:misc_RNA from 1 species
UGGAGCUUAUGGAGCCUGCGG